GAUGAACGCUGGCGGCGCGCCUAACACAUGCAAGUCGAACGAUUAAACCGCCCUUGGGCGGAUAUACAGUGGCGAACGGGUGAGUAACGCGUGACCAACCUUCCCCCCGCAUCGGGACAACCCGGGGAAACCCGGGCUAAUACCGGAUAUGCCGGGUAUGGCGCAUGUCAUACCCAGGAAAGCUUUUGCGGCGGGGGAUGGGGUCGCGUCCCAUCAGGUAGACGGCGGGGUAGUAGCCCACCGUGCCAACGACGGGUAGCCGGGUUGAGAGACCGACCGGCCACAUUGGGACUGAGAUACGGCCCAGACUCCUACGGGAGGCAGCAGUGGGGAAUCUUGCGCAAUGGGGGAAACCCUGACGCAGCGACGCCGCGUGCGGGAUGGAGGCCUUCGGGCCGUGAACCGCUUUCAGCAGGGAAGACAUUAAGGACGGUACCUGCAGAAGAAGCCCCGGCUAACUACGUGCCAGCAGCCGCGGUAAUACGUAGGGGGCGAGCGUUAUCCGGAUUCAUUGGGCGUAAAGCGCGCGCAGGCGGCGCACCAGGCGGGAUCUCGAAACCGGGGGCUCAACCUCCGGGCGGAUCCCGAACCGGUGUGCUCGAGUGCGGUAGAGGAAGGCGGAAUUCCCGGUGUAGCGGUGAAAUGCGCAGAUAUCGGGAAGAACACCGAUGGCGAAGGCAGACUUCUGGGCCGACACUGACGCUCAGGCGCGAAAGCUGGGGGAGCGAACAGGAUUAGAUACCCUGGUAGUCCCAGCCGUAAACGAUGGGCACUAGGUGUGGGGGGCAUUUGCCUUCCGUGCCGCAGCUAACGCAUUAAGUGCCCCGCCUGGGGAGUACGGCCGCAAGGCUAAAACUCAAAGGAAUUGACGC
rnacentral:rRNA from 1 species